rnacentral:rRNA from 1 species
UCCUGGCUAGGACGAACGCUGGCGGCGUGCCUAACACAUGCAAGUCGAACGGGGAUUUGUUUCGGCAGAAUCCUAGUGGCGAACGGGUGAGUAACGCGUAGGCAACCUGCCCUCCGGCCGGGGACAACACUCCGAAAGGGGUGCUAAUACCGGAUACGAAGUCUGUGCCGCAUGGUACGGAUUUGAAAGAUGGCCUCUAUUUAUAAGCUAUCGCCGGGGGAUGGGCCUGCGUCCGAUUAGCUGGUUGGUGGGGUAACGGCCUACCAAGGCGACGAUCGGUAGCCGGUCUGAGAGGAUGAACGGCCACAUUGGGACUGAGACACGGCCCAGACUCCUACGGGAGGCAGCAGUGGGGAAUCUUCCGCAAUGGGCGCAAGCCUGACGGAGCAACGCCGCCGUGAGUGAGGAAGUUCUUCGGAACGUAAAGCUCUGUUGUUCCUGACGAACCUCCCCUCUAUCAACAACGGAGGGGACUGACGGUAGGGAACGAGGAAGCCACGGCUAACUACGUGCCAGCCGCCGC